rnacentral:lncRNA from 1 species
CAGAUCAUCUUCAUUGACUUUUCUGUUUGUAUUUGCCUUUUAGCUGGACCUAAGGAAUCCAACGAGCUCCCUCAGAAGACAAACAAAUUCUGUUACUUGGCUAAAAAUACCCCAAAUACAAUCCACGGAGAUAUCUGGUUACAAGGAACAAUUGAAGAUGGCAUUGACUUAGGAGAAGAAAAAAUCUACUAUUUUGAAGAGGAAUGCUUCCAGGAAAAUGGGGGGGAAGCCAGCAAAAAUAAAACCAAGGAAAGAAAUGAAGUUCUCCUUGAAGAGGAAGAAAGGGAAGAUGGGAAGGCUAAAGUGGACAAGGAGAAGGAAACAGAACAAGAAAAGAGCAUGAUGUAUAAAAGAACAAAAAAUAGGAUGAAAGCAAGAAAUUGAAGGUCAAGGACAAAGGAGAAGACUUGUGGGGGGAGGGGGGAAGUUAGAGAAUAAGCAGAAAGGUAGGAAGGCUGAGAGAUGCCUGAAGAUGAAAAGUCAAAUCCAAGGACAUUUUUUUUUAAAGGAAGCUAAUGGGGGUAAGUUAAGGAAGAGAAAGUGACCCAAAUGAAAUGAUCAGUGUUACUACAAAAUUCUCACCUGUUUCCUGUCUGAGUCAUCAAUUAGGAUAAGAACAUUCUGUGAAUUUACUAACUUUCUACUACUCUGUGUGUAAUUUGAAAAAAGUCCUUCAGAGGUUUCAUCUUUUAGUUCUCUUGGUCACAAAUCUCGGGUUCCAAAUAUCUGUUUUAUAAGUUCAUGUUCAUAUUAUUCAGUCAGGAAGAAAUGAGGAUUUUCUGAAAUAGAGUAUUGAUUAAAGCAACUUAAAAUCAUUUCCUUGGAUUAGUCUAGUAUCUCUGUGGGAGCCUCUAUCAACCCAAAAGAUAUUAAUUAAUUAGCUGCUAUGAAUAAUAAUAAUAAUAAUAGCUUAGCAUUUAUGUAGUGUUUAUUACAGGGCAGUUAGGUGGUGCACUUGAUAGAGUGCUGGGCUUGGAAUCAGGCAGACUCAUCUUCCUGAGUUCAAAUCUGGCCUCAGACAUUUACUAGCUGUAUGACCCUGGGGAAGCCACUUAACCCUAUUCAAGUCAGUUUCUUCAUCUGUAAAAUGAGCUGGAAGAGGAAGUGGCAGACCGCUCUAGUAUCUUUGCCAUGAAAACCCCAAAUAUGGGAUCAUGAAAAGUUGACUGAACUUAAAUGCAUAAACACACCACACCUUUUCAGUGAAUGAGGCCAAUUCCCAGGUAUUUCCUCUAUGUACCUCUUCUGCCCUCCUGUGGCUGCCAGACCUCAAGGCCCUGACUUUUGUGCUGGAGAAAAAAAAAAAUCAUGCCGGAGUUUCUGCCACAAAAAAAAUUGGAGGAAUUCAGCAACUGAGAACCAGGGAAUGUCAGAGAUGAAAGGA